rnacentral:tRNA from 1 species
UGGGGUUUUGGCUCAGUGGUAGAGCACUCGCCUAGCAUGUGUGAGACACUGGGUUCAAUCCUCAGCACCACAU